CUCUGGUUUCUCUUGCUGACACCUCACUGGCUUCUCUCUUCCGCCUGGGCUGUGGCCCUGCUCUCCUCUCUACACUAUCUCCUGGACUCUCAGGCAUCACUCACAUACUGACAACCACUGGACUUAGAGUUCUAGCCUGGCCCAGACCCCCAAGCUCUGCGCACAGCUGCCCAGCUACCUGCACAGCAUCUCCUCCUCAGAAAAAGAUCUGUGCUAGGAAGGCCCAAAGGCCAGUGGUGGAAGUUGGAAAGUCUGUGCCAGCGGGGUGAAGGAUCUGUGUCAGCAGGCUGAGGGGUCUGCAUUGAGCCAGGAAGCCAUACUCAAGUACAGAGAAUUGAAUUGAGGGCCUUCACUAGCUGUUGCAUCAAGUUUCUGCAGAUGGUACCCUGUUCUCCUUAUCUCAGCCCACACUUCAGACCUUGCCAGCUGGGGCUGCGGUAGCUGCUGAUCCCAGACACUGAGGUGCCUUAUUGUCAGCUAAGCGGGGUGCUCAGGAGCUUCAUUUGGUGAGUGGGUGUUCUUACUGGCUCUGGUUCUUACCUCAGGGGGAAAUUCAGAGCUUUGCUCUUGUUUUCUUUCAUAUUUACACAGUAUCCAAAACAAGUCUAGGCUUAGUAAGAGGAGUCUUUACCCAAAAAGGCUAUUGUAAAAGUAGGGGAAAGGAGCUCUUGUUAGGGAGAACUCUCUGACCAUAAGACCUGUGAGUGUCUCAGGCUUAGGUAAAGGGCUUUCUUUCAUAGGGAGGAGAAAACAAGGCUAGAAGAUUGGAAGGAAAGGAACAGCAUGAUUGGAAAACAGACUGCAACAUGCUUCACCCCCAAAUUAGCCUAUGAUCCAGAGGGGCUGGCAAGCAGGAAAGGGUGCUGGCUCAGGAACCUGGAGGGAGAGUUCGGUUAAGAGUUUUGCUCAGAUUGAUGGGUAGAGACAAGCAGCUUUGAAAAUCAUUUAUGAAACAAAGAAUGGGAAUUGAGGGAGUCAUUUGUGGUCCCUUCUAUGAAAACAAGGAGGUACUGAUGGGUGUCAGGUAAUCACAUGAGGCAGGAGAAUUCCUGGCAGAGAGCACAUACGUAUAUAUGCACAUGUGCACCCAUGACAUAUACAUAUAUAUGUCCUCUGCUUCCCCAAAUGAAAGAGGAGGAGGAAAUUCUCUCUCCUUCUCAUCUUCCAGUAGUGCAGGAGUUUUGGGUCAAGUUCAGCACUGUCUAUGGCCACACUCAAGGUCAAGUCCAAGCAGCUAGAACAUAUCGUGCAAGGCUUUGUGAAUCUAGCAGCAGAAAGGGCACCUGUGCUGGCAGGAAGAGUGUGUGGCUUUGUCCCACUUAGAAUGCAAGUCUUUCCUGUUGCUGCUUCUGCCUGCUCCCCAGUUCCAUAUGAUUCAGGGGCUGGCGUGAGCUACCCAGAAACUGGACCACACUGGGAAAACGUGGAUUCUUUCAGUUCCGCAGCCCACUUUCUAUAACCUAAUUAGUUCAGAGCACAAUGAUUUCACUUUAGAAUUUCAACAAUCUCCCGUUAGUCACAACGUUCAGAAAAUAACAGUUUCCUUGGUUAUAAAAAUAAUGCAUGUUCAUGAUGGAAAAUAAAGAGAACAUACACUUUGUUUAAAUACACAAACCCAACAUCAUAGGCAGGGUGACAGCCAGGUGGCCAGAUAAGAAGAUCUGGAAAGGGUGCAUGGACUCUAAGAGGGUCAUUCAAAAAUAGCCAGUCAGAGGAGCAAAAAGAAAAACAAAUGAAAGAGAAUGGAGAAAAAUGAAUGGACCUAAGACAUAAUCAAGUGGACAAACGUGAAUUAUGGCAGUCUCAAAGAGGAGAGAAAAAGGAGUGGAGAGCUAAUUCAAAGAAAUGAUGGCUGACCUUUUAGAUUCUACUAUGAGAUGUGCCGUAUGAGUCUUUCUGCCCCUGAUUUAUUUGGCUUAGCACAGGAUCCUUCAGCUUCAUCCAUAUUGUUCUAAAUUGCAAAGCUGCCUUCUUUUUAAAGCUGAACACAUACCAUGUGUAUUCCAAUCUACAUAUACACAUUUGUAUAUGUACAGAGAGUCCCCAGCUUAGCACAAUUAAUCAACUGCACGAUGGUAUGAAUUUUGGUCUUUUCCCAGCUGAGUGACCUGUGAUACAACACUCUCUCCACAGUGGACACCAACCCUGAGAUGUCACUCAUAGUUAGCCACAUGGUCAUGAGGGCAAAUAACCAAACUAUAUCUGGUAUUGUGUUGCUAAGCAAUAGUGUUUGGUAGGUUAGGAGUAUCAAAUGCAUUUUUGACUUAGGAUAAUUUCAACUUAUCAAGGGUUUAUCAUUCCAACACUGUUCACAAUAGUCAAGACACAGAAACAACCCAACUAUUGUCAAUAGAUGAAUGAAUAGCUGCCUCUCAUUGACUAACCAGCCAUGACCUCAGAUCAAUACCAGAACCUGAAGGAGAGGACCAAGAUGGCGGAUAGAUAACAGCAGGCUAUAGAGGCUCCCUGAGAGUGUCAACUUAGAAUUCAACAUAAUACAGCAUGGGGAGUCCCGAACAGAAGGAGAUGAAUUCUCUUGUCCCAAGAAGAAAUUAAGGUUAGAGGAAACAAUCACACACACAGUCCCAGUGCUACUACUGGAACAGCUAAAGGUUCAGUGCUCCCGAGGCAGUGCCCGAACUUGAGCCGUGGCAACUUACCGAGCUGUCGGAAAUCCCGCAGCUUCAAGUCACUGGAAAUACAGGCACACUGAGGUCGGGGGUCAGUGUGCUGAACAGAGAGCUGAGCUAGUGGGGAACCUGUAUCGACCUAUGGUGAGUGAUGGGAGUAAAACCAUUCCACAGAGAAGGGGGCUCCAACAGACAACAUUCUUGGAGUGGGCAGCACUGGCAAGAACAAGGGGCAGCAGUGACUUCAGUCAGUUGUUCCCUUCCCAAACAGGAUUGGUGGAGUGAGCUAGGCUUAUGUCAUGAGACCUGGCUGAGACCCAAUAGAUGAUCCGAAAUCAAUUCCCUAUGGUGGCAGCACACACUAACACAGUGAAGGCCUCAGCAGGUUGACUGACCUGGAGGGGAGGCAGCGCACACUAAUACAGUGAAAGCCUCAGCAGUUUGACUGAUAUAGAGGGGAGGGGCCAGCAUACACUGCCCCUGUUUGCAAUUCACUAGCACAUGGCAGAGGGAAUGGUCACCUAGCCAGCAUGCUUCAACAGAAUUGUAACCAAAAAAGAAAGAAAUUGGGGCCUCCUGGAAGAAGCAAAAAAGAUGGGAAGAGGAAGCAACAAGAAAAAGUCCCCAGGUCCCAAUCCUGAGAACAUUGACCCAGGACAGAUAAAUACAAAGGAUUUGAGGACAGCAAACAUGCAAUAUCAGACAUGGCACCAGUGGACAUAAAGAGAUAUCUUUGGAACCUCAUUGACGAGUUCAAAAGGGAAAUAUUUAGCCAAGUAAAACAAGAUAU